GAUGAACGUUGGCGGCGUGCCUAAUACAUGCAAGUCGAACGGAGAUUGUAGCAAUACGGUCUCAGUGGCGAACGGGUGAGUAACGCGUUGGUGACCUGCCCCGAAGUGUGGAAUAACAGAUCGAAAGAGCUGCUAAUACCGCAUAAUAUCCAGAAGAUUAGAUGCUUUUGGAUUAAAGGAUUUAUUCGCUUCGGGAGGGGCCUGCGUCCCAUCAGCUAGUUGGUAAGGUAAAGGCUUACCAAGGCUAUGACGGGUAGGGGACCUGAGAGGGUGGCCCCCCACAAUGGAACUGAAACACGGUCCAUACACCUACGGGUGGCAGCAGUAGGGAAUAUUAGUAAUGGGCGAAAGCCUGAACUAGCAACGCCGCGUGUGCGAAGAAGGCCUUCGGGUUGUAAAGCACUUUUUGAGAGGAUGAGGAAGGACGGUACUCUCAGAAUAAGUCUCGGCUAACUACGUG
rnacentral:rRNA from 1 species